rnacentral:rRNA from 1 species
AUUGAACGCUGGCGGCAGGCCUAACACAUGCAAGUCGAACGGUAACAGGAAACAGCUUGCUGUUUCGCUGACGAGUGGCGGACGGGUGAGUAAUGUCUGGGAAACUGCCUGAUGGAGGGGGAUAACUACUGGAAACGGUAGCUAAUACCGCAUAACGUCGCAAGACCAAAGAGGGGGACCCUCGGGCCUCUUGCCAUCGGAUGUGCCCAGAUGGGAUUAGCUUGUUGGUGGGGUAACGGCUCACCAAGGCGACGAUCCCUAGCUGGUCUGAGAGGAUGACCAGCCACCCUGGAACUGAGACACGGUCCAGACUCCUACGGGAGGCAGCAGUGGGGAAUAUUGCACAAUGGGCGCAAGCCUGAUGCAGCCAUGCCGCGUGUAUGAAGAAGGCCUUCGGGUUGUAAAGUACUUUCAGCGGGGAGGAAGGGAGUAAAGUUAAUACCUUUGCUCAUUGACGUUACCCGCAGAAGAAGCACCGGCUAACUCCGUG